rnacentral:rRNA from 1 species
GAUGAACGCUAGCGGCAGGCCUAAUACAUGCAAGUCGAACGAGAUUAAGAGGCUUGCUUCUUAUGAAAGUGGCGCACGGGUGCGUAACGCGUAUGCAACCUACCUUCAUCAGGGGGAUAGCCCGAAGAAAUUCGGAUUAAGACCGCAUAAAAACACAGGAUAGCAUUAUCCAAUGUUCAAAUAUUUAUAGGAUUAAGAUGGGCAUGCGUGUCAUUAGCUAGUUGGCGCGGUAACGGCCCACCAAGGCGACGAUGACUAGGGGAUCUGAGAGGAUGACCCCCCACACUGGUACUGAGACACGGACCAGACUCCUACGGGAGGCAGCAGUAAGGAAUAUUGGUCAAUGGAGGGAACUCUGAACCAGCCAUGCCGCGUACAAGAAGACAGCCCUCUGGGUCGUAAACUGCUUUUAUUCGGGAAUAAACCUUUCUACGUGUAGGAAGCUGAAUGUACCGAAGGAAUAAGGAUCGGCUAACUCCGUG